AGGACUAACGCUGGCGGCGUGCCUAACACAUGCAAGUCGAACGAGGUAGCAAUACCUAGUGGCAGACGGGUGAGUAACGCGUGGUCAACCUACCUCUUAGUGGGGGAUAACUAGCCGAAAGGUUAGCUAAUACCGCAUACGAUCGUCGCGAGGCAUCUCGUGACGAUGAAAGGAGCAAUUCGCUAAGAGAGGGGACUGCGUCCCAUUAGUUAGUUGGUGGGGUAAUGGCCCACCAAGACUCCGAUGGGUAGCUGGCUUGAGAGAGCGACCAGCCACACUGGAACUGAGACACGGUCCAGACUCCUACGGGAGGCAGCAGUGAGGAAUUUUCCGCAAUGGGCGCAAGCCUGACGGAGCGACGCCGCGUGUGGGAAGAAGGCCUUCGGUCGUAACCACUGUCGAAGGGGACGAUAUUGACGGUACCCUUGGAGGAAGCCCCGGCUAACUACGUGCCAGCAGCCGC
rnacentral:rRNA from 1 species